CCCCUGAGUUUAUAGGUAACAUCAUUGUCAUCAUGACUCUCGAUAAAAAAAUGGCAGCAAAACUACAAGUAAACUUCUUUUUUCCUCGCAAAAAAAGUAAACAUUUUCUAGCAUUUUGAACAGCGUGGGGAGUAUAUGUCUGGUCUAAAGGUAAAACAUGAUGCACUCCAACAAAUACUUACAUGUUCAACACAGUUAGCACUGUGUUGUUUUAGUAAUCAUCUAAACCUGUCACAAAAUUCUAAAUACAGGGCUUCCGCAGCUCAUAAGCCUGCAGAAGAGCAAUCAACGACACCAUUGUUCUUUACAAUCAUAGCGGAGCACACCAUUCAAUUCCUAGAUUUUAUUUUCUUGUUGGCAUACCAAAACCUAGCAUUAGUUCCAAAUCAGCAUGUCAAAAUAUGCCACAUUGAGCCCAAUAAAAGAAAAGAUAGUACCAAUAGUACUCCGCUCUAGAAUCUUUCUCCCCACAUCACAAAUAAGUGCAUUUCUAGAACUCUUGAAAAAAUCAAUGCUACAUGGAAAUUACAUACUUAUUCAUAUCAAGAGCUAUUUAAGCAUAUAAUGAUUGCACUUUGGAAAGUAGAGAAAGUAAAGAGAUGCUUUACUUAUAUACAUGUGCAGGUACUGUACAUGCAUAAACUAUAUUAAUCCAGAUAUAGAAGACAUUCUUCAGUGUACGAAUGCGCUACCAUGUUAAUGGUUAAUAAUCCAUUGCAGUGAACCAAACAAAAUUGGAAACAAAGGAAAGGAUAGAGAGGCAAAUAACCUUCCAACGAAAUCCAUUCUGAAGAGAUGCUAGAGAACAAACAAUGUGAUUCCUUCUUUUCUAUUCAUCAGCAAGAAACGGAAAUUCUACAACCAAUUACACGAUAUAACAGAAAAGGGUAAAAUAACAAAAAAAACAAAAUAGAAGAAAACAAAGAAUCAUAGAAAGGAACAUUUAAAUGGAAAAGGAGAUGUUAGCCACACAUGCUAAGUUGUUUAAAGUAAUAGGAAACUAAUGAUUCAAAAACCUUCUCUAUUUUACUAAAAUGUAUUGUUCUAUCAGGAUAAUUAACUCCAUAAAUCAUGGGAUGAUGAUCAUUUAGAAAUUAAAUUUACCUUUUCUUUAUUCUGGACCUUAGUGACGACCUGCAGUAGGGGAAAACCUAAAAAUUAAAAUUACCUGUUGUGUACCUCAGUUAGACCCUACAACAGGAAAAGUGCAACACAAUAUUAAAGGGAUUAAACUGGAUGGACAAGAUACCAAAAUAAAUUAGGAGUUGCACGCAUGGCGC
rnacentral:lncRNA from 1 species